UGGGCGAAAGCCUGAUGGAGCGACACCGCGUGAAGGAUGAAGGUCUUCGGAUUGUAAACUUCUUUAGACCUAGAUGAAGGCAACCGGGUGAAUAAUCCGGUUGUUUGACAGUAUAGGUAGAAUAAGCCACGGCUAACUCUGUGCCAGCAGCCGCGGUAAUACAGAGGUGGCAAACGUUGUCCGGAUUUAUUGGGUGUAAAGGGCAUGUAGGCGGCUUCGUAAGUCAAAGGUGAAAUGGCCCGGCUCAACCAGGUCAUUGCCUUUGAAACUGCGGGGC
rnacentral:rRNA from 1 species